rnacentral:rRNA from 1 species
ACGGAAGGCAGCAGUGAGGAAUAUUGGUCAAUGGGCGGAAGCCUGAACCAGCCAAGUCGCGUGAAGGAUGAAGGUAUUAUGUAUUGUAAACUUCUUUAGACGCAGAGAAAUAAGGAGGUCGUGACCUCUGAUGCUAGUAUGCGUAGAAUAAGGAUCGGCUAACUCCGUGCCAGCAGCCGCGGUAAUACGGAGGAUCCGAGCGUUAUCCGGAUUUAUUGGGUUUAAAGGGUGCGCAGGCGGUCUUUUAAGUCAGUGGUUAAAUCGUGAGGCUCAACCUCAUCACGCCAUUGAUACUGGAGGACUUGAUUGCGGUUGGGGUUGGCGGAAUUCGUCGUGUAGCGGUGAAAUGCAUAGAUAUGACGAAGAACACCGAUUGCGUAGGCAGCUGACCAGGCCGUAAAUGACGCUCAUGCACGAAAGUGCGGGGAUCGAACAGGAUUAGAUACCCUGGUA